rnacentral:rRNA from 1 species
CUCUCGGGUAUAGGUCCCUUGGAAUAGGGCAUCAUAGAGGGUGAGAAUCCCGUCUGUGACACGAGUUCGGGUGCGUUAUGUUACGCUUUCGACGAGUCGAGUUGUUUGGGAUUGCAGCUCAAAAUGGGUGGUAAAUUCCAUCUAAGGCUAAAUAAUUGCAAGAGACCGAUAGCGAACAAGUACCGUGAGGGAAAGAUGAAAAGAACUUUGAAAAGAGAGUUAAAAGUGCGUGAAAUUGUUGAAAGGGAAACGAUUGAAGCCAGUCAUGUCGGUGGGAAAUCAGCUUCCGGAUUUCUCUGGAGGUGCACUUUCUCGCAGGCAAGUUAGCGUCAGUUUCGCAAGUCGUAAAAAGUCCGUCAGAAUGUGAUUCCUUUCGGAGUGUUAUAGCUAGCGGUCAAUGCGAUUUGCGAGACUGAGGAUUGCAGCGAGUGUCUUGCGAGGCUAAGUUAUCGGAUUCUUUGUGGUCGUCUUGGUAACAGCAUGCUGGUGCCGAGUUCGAUUCGUGGAAACGGGGUUUAGUGUCGUAACUCGUUAAGGAUGCUGACGUAAUGGCUUUAAACGACCCGUCUUGAAACACGGACCAAGGAGUCUAACAUACGUGCGAGUGUUUGGGCGGAAAACCCAUUCGCGAAAUGAAAGUGAACGUAGGUGGGAGUUCUCACGGGAACGCACCAUCGACC